AGUGAACGCUGGCGGUAGGCCUAACACAUGCAAGUCGAACGGCAGCACAGUAAGAGCUUGCUCUUACGGGUGGCGAGUGGCGGACGGGUGAGGAAUAAAUCGGAAUCUACUUUUUCGUGGGGGAUAACGUAGGGAAACUUACGCUAAUACCGCAUCCGACCUACGGGUGAAAGCAGGGGAUCUUCGGACCUUGCGCGAUUGAAUGAGCCGAUGUCGGAUUAGCUAGUUGGCGGGGUAAAGGCCCACCAAGGCGACGAUCCGUAGCUGGUCUGAGGGGGGGGUGGCCGCAGCUGAACGGGAGCGCCGGCCCGGAGCCUACGGUAGGCAGCAGUGGGGAAUAUUGGACAAUGGGCGCAAGCCUGGUCCAGCCAUACCGCGUGGGUGAAGAAGGCCUUCGGGUUGUAAAGCCCUUUUGUUGGGAAAGAAAAGCAGCAGGUUAAUACCCCGCUGUUCUGACGGUACCCAAAGAAUAAGCACCGGCUAACUUCGUG
rnacentral:rRNA from 1 species